rnacentral:rRNA from 1 species
CCUACGGGGGGCUGCAGUGAGGAAUAUUGGUCAAUGGACGAGAGUCUGAACCAGCCAAGUAGCGUGAAGGAUGACUGCCCUAUGGGUUGUAAACUUCUUUUAUAUGGGAAUAAAAUGUUCCACGUGUGGGAUUUUGUAUGUACCAUAUGAAUAAGGAUCGGCUAACUCCGUGCCAGCAGCCGCGGUAAUACGGAGGAUCCGAGCGUUAUCCGGAUUUAUUGGGUUUAAAGGGAGCGUAGGGGGAUUGUUAAGUCAGUUGUGAAAGUUUGCGGCUCAACCGUAAAAUUGCAGUUGAAACUGGCAGUCUUGAGUACAGUAGAGGUGGGCGGAAUUCGUGGUGUAGCGGUGAAAUGCUUAGAUAUCACGAAGAACUCCGAUUGCGAAGGCAGUUCACUGGACUGCAACUGACACUGAGGCUCGAAAGUGUGGGUAUCAAACAGGAUUAGACACCCGAGUAGUC